GUCUCUGGUGGGCUGUUGCGGGAGCUAUUUUCCGAUGACAUUGCUCCUUCACCCUCUGUUUCCGGAAGCCUCUUCUUCUCCAUCUAGGCUAAGAGGAUUCAGAGAUCAGCAUAAGCGCCUGGCGGCUAAUGAAAAACAAAGCACUAACCUUUUCUUCAAGAUUUUUCAGAAACUCCAUCAUUAGUUGCGUCUACAACAAUAAAUUUUGGAUUGUGUCAAAUUGGAAACAUGAUCCAAAGUUGGGAAAGUCCGAAUAUUUUGUGGAAUAAUCAUCUGAAUCACUUAGUAGAGCAUAUAUAUACCUUCCUAGCUCUAGUUACAGACAGAGCAGCCUUGAACUGCUCUUCUAAGGAAUUUAGAGACUCUACACUUGCAUCAUCGACUUUGGCUUCUUCACACUUGCUGCAUGCAUAAAUAUUAACGGAAAA